rnacentral:rRNA from 1 species
UACGUAGGGCGCGAGCGUUGUCCGGAAUUAUUGGGCGUAAAGAGCUCGUAGGCGGCUUGUCACGUCGGGUGUGAAAGACCGGGGCUUAACUCCGGUUCUGCAUUCGAUACGGGCUAGCUAGAGUGUGGUAGGGGAGAUCGGAAUUCCUGGUGUAGCGGUGAAAUGCGCAGAUAUCAGGAGGAACACCGGUGGCGAAGGCGGUUCUCUGGGCAUGACCUGACGCUGAGGAGCGAAAGCAUGGGGAGCGAACAGG